CGCACGAGCGCACCCUUAUCCUUAGUUGCCAGCACGUAAUGGUGGGAACUCUAAGGAGACUGCCGGUGACAAACCGGAGGAAGGUGGGGACGACGUCAAGUCAUCAUGGCCCUUACGAGAUGGGCUACACACGUGCUACAAUGGCAAGUACAAAGGGUUGCAAACUCGCGAGAGUAAGCGGAUCCCAUAAAGCUUGUCGUAGUCCGGAUUGGAGUCUGCAACUCGACUCCAUGAAGUCGGAAUCGCUAGUAAUCGUGGAUCAGAAUGCCACGGUGAGUACGUUCCCGGGCCUUGUACACACCGCCCGUCACACCAUGGGAGUGGGCUGCAAAAGAAGUGGGUAGUUUAACCUUCGGGAGAACGCUCACCACUUUGUGGUUCAUGACUGGGGUGAAGUCGUAACGAGGUAGCCCUAGGGGAACCUGGGGCUGGAUCACCUCCUU
rnacentral:rRNA from 1 species